GGGGUUGUGGCUCAGCGGUAGAGCGCUUGCCUAGUAUAAGCUAUGCAAGGCCCUGGGUUCGAUCCUCAACACCA
rnacentral:tRNA from 1 species